UUCUCGUUCUCGUUUGGUUUGGUUCGGUUGGUCGCUUGCUGGCUGCACAUUCACUACACUCCGACAAACUAAACUCACUAACUUACUCGCUCACUAGUUCACUUCUCGUAGUGGAAAUCGCUCGCUAUGCUGAAUUCGUACGUGGAUGGAGAGGAAUAUCUUCGUUGUGUAUUAAAACACACCGAGAGAGUCGAGAAGUGGAAGGAAGAGCCGCCAGCCAGCCAGCCAGUCAGCCAGCCAGACCUUCUCUUUACUGAGGACGGUGACUGUGGAGAAAAUUUUGCCGUCGGUGUAUGUGAGCGUAAAACACGACGGAAUAUUAUUCCUAUGUGUCGGUGGACUAGUUGCACGAACGCCGCUGAAUGUGGGUGUUGUAACCGUGCGCGCGCAAACGUCGAGGACGACGACGACGUCGACGCCGACGCCGAGGCUGCCGAUGCCGAUGAUGCUGCCGGUGGUUCGAGACCUCCCAACUAACACGGGCUUCUCCUACCUCUCCUCCUCUUCUGCUUCUUCUGCUUCUUCUGCUUCUUCCGCUUCUUCUGCUCCACCUACAUCUCUUCGGCGCACGAUUCUCCGCGUCCGAGGACGAGAGGCAGAUUUUGUUUCGACCCUACGGAGCGGAGGAAUCGUGGCGACGAAACGCGUCGAAGAAUAUAUCCGGGAACGAGAAAAAAUCGUCGCUACGAAAUUCCACCCAACACCGUCAACGGGAGAGAUCGGAGUUGGGCUCUGGAAAAUUUAACGUCGCGUCAAGUUACUGCGAUAAGUUACGUUGCGUCGAUUUCUCUUACGAAACGAGGCGAGAUGGGAUGGAUGUUUUUUCAUCCUUCGUCGUUUCGCAAUUCACACAGUCGGAUGGAAAGAGAUUCUUUUCAUUCCCCCGGCAUGAUCGAAAACCGGAGUAGAUUGCAUAUCGUCCGUCUGCGAAGGAAGUGUUUUUUUUUUCUUUUUCUCUCUUCUCAAUUAUUCCUUGAAAAAUUUUUUUGAUCGAAAUACGCGCAGAGUCAGCGUUGCCGGUAGCCGGUUGCGUUCCCGUUGCGUUUGCUUGGUUUUCUAAAACGAAAUACGGAACGGAACCGUCGCCCGUUCAACCACCACACCGACGUAGUCGUCGUCAUUUGCCAGCGCCGCUUUUUCCCCCACCAUUAGGGAAACCUUUAGGAAAAAUCAAUAGAAUACAAGAAAGACCCGUCUCGCCCGUGUGGAGUUUACCCCUCCGUACUUCCCUUUCCCUAACGCUUUUGCAAACCUCCCUUCCUCUCGCUCUCUCCAUUUUCCACAGCGGCGGUGACUCUCUACGGAUACGCGUACACGUGUAAACGUGCGGAUCUGUUCCCCUACUCUUCGGCUGCUUCUGCCGCUUUUCUAGCCCGUCUAUUUUGCCUAGCUUCUUCCUUUUCUAAAAUUUCCCAAACCUUCCCUCACUUUUGCAGAACCGAGAAGACAUGCGCGCACAAUCUUGUAAGGUCUCUCCAUUUUUUCCUUUUUCAUUUUUUACUUUUUUUUUGCUCAUCCCUCUUCCUCUUUUUCCAUGUACCACGACGCGUGGAAAACAUUGCGAAACUGUACGUGUCUCUCUUCUAGUUUUUCCCGCAUCUUUUCCCGUUUCUCUUAUUUCUCUUCCUUCCUAUCCUUAUUUUCGUGUUUCCGCUUCUACCGACUCCGUUCAAAUUUCUCCCAAAAUUUAGAGGCGAAGAAAAGUUGCAAAUAAUUUUUAGCGCAAUUCAAUCUGGCUACCGCGCUACAAGUAUGAUGUUUGCGAAGCAAUUAUUUUUUUUUUUUCACAAUCUUUCAACGACAAAACUGCGGCUCACCGAUCUUCCCGGAACUAACAUACGCGCAUGUAUACUUAUGUCUAUGCUUAUGUGUAAGUAAUUAGAUCGUUGGACUUUUAAAAGCGUGUAUAUUAUAUUUUCUAUACGUACGUAAUACCUGUGCAUAGGUGUAAAACUUUGUACAAUAUUUUAUUAAAAAUGUAAUCUGGAAACAAAUGUAAGAACCGAAACAAAAUAAAUAAAAGUCAAUGAAAAAAAUGCACGAAUCAGAAAAUACUGGAGCAAAUUUUCUCCUUUCAUUUAAUAUAUAUAACGUUGAUCGUAUCGGGAAAAAUGAACGAGGAAACGGACGAAAUUACUCGAGUGAUUCUUCAGAGUAGCUCGUUCGCGUGGAGUAGUAGAUUUUCUAUUUUCUAGUACGGUUUGAAAUUUGGACUUUGACGAGAAGUGCAGGAAUGAGUCUCCUCAGCAGCAGACAAUAUAUCCGCAUCGCUGUGAAGCAGAACUCGAACUGAAACCCGGAGGUAUAAGAAUUACUCCUGAGGGUUGUGCCCGCCGCCUCUUUCCCUCGACAAAACUCUGUCAACAACUUUCAAUUUAUGCCGAAAGUUGUUACGAGGAAACUUUGCGAACCACCUGACCUACGGGUCAUCAAACCUAUUACUUGUUGUAGUUCAAGGCUCUUUCAUUCUCACAUUAUUUCCUCUGCGUUUUAUUUCUCUUCUCUCUCAUUUUUUUCGAUUAUUUUUCUAUCAAUUUUUUCAGUUCACUCAUCAAUCUUUCAUUUCGUACACUUUCCACCGUACGCCGGGGUCUCUGGCUAAUAUACCCCAGUAAAAAUUGGAGAGAGAUCUUCAAUUUUGAAGCAGAUAUGCUCUGCAGUGUUCGAAGAUCUCGAUCAGCUAAUUGAUUCACCUGCUGAAAUAAAAACGUGAUCGUUGGUUUUUCAUUUUUUAAAGCGAAAUCAUCGAGAUCUCGUUAUAGUUUAGGGGUCCCUUGACGUGAUCGAAGGAUUCAACCUUCUAUCGCGUGAAAAUACAGCAAUCUGAACUCAUGUUGAAUUAUUCUUCACGAACGUAAGUUGCAAAAUUUUGUGUAAACUUUACCAUUCAACUCAGAUAAAUUACCACGUACCCUUCAACCCCUAUUGGCGCCUGACUGUGCGUGACCCGCAACACACGCCUGUAAACACCGGCGCGUUGCCCAGAAUCAGGGGCACGGAUCGAGUUCGGGGUUGCCGGUAUUAUUGCUGCAGAUGGAAUCUGACGUACCAUCUUCGCGUCAUCCUCCCCCAGCCCUUAGACGUCGUGAUGUUAUUCGUUGAAGGUUACGGCAUUAUUUUGAAUGAAAAGGUGAUUGAAAAUCAAACGUGAAAGAAGCGCACAAAAAAGUGAACCAUUCCAGUGGAAAUGACGUGGUGACAUUAUAUAAUCAGCUGGAAGCUGAACGUCAAAAGCAGCUCACGACAGGAAGAAGGUAGGUUAAGGGAGGUAGUAUUCGCCGCUCAGCAGCAGACAAUAUGUCCGCAUCGCUGUGAAGCAGAACUCGAACUGAAACCCGGAGGUAUAAGAAUUACUCCUGAGGGUUGUGCCCGCCGCCUCAGGCAUUGCUUCGGAUCUCUAUUGAAUAAUAGCUGAAAAAGUGUCGAUGUCAAGUCAAACGCAACAAGUGUCUGACUCGGCAGGCCUAAAGCACCCAACGUCAUCGUGUGUGCUCCGGGAACGUGAAUCAUCGAUCCAUUAUCGAACCUGACGUAAUGGCAGCGACAUUGAAAUACUUGGCAGCUGUUCGAGGGAGGCAGGAUUCACCCCAAGAAUCGGAUACCGAAAAAGACCGAUCUCCAAUGGAGAUCGCUUUUGUGAAAAGUGGGCCGUCCUUGCGGAGAAUCAAAAUGGUCGCCCACGAGGCAAAUUCACAAGGAAUGGCGCGCCAUACGUGCCUGAUCAGCGGCAAGACCAGUUCACUCGGAGGCGACACAGCUGGUGUAUGAGAAGGCGAACUAAAAUGUUCUCUGAAGAUGUAAUAUAGGCAUUUUUUUGACGAUCGCAAUUUCGACUUUUAGAUCAGUUUUUGAGCCCGAAAAUGGGGGACCUCCAAUCGAGCGCUCGUAGACCAACUCAGAGGAGGAGAUUGCAGUCGUGAGGCUGUACGUGAGAAAAUGUGGCCGCCUCUCCUUCACCUCGAGGAUUUGAUUCGCGAAAAUCGAUGUCUAGUCAACAUCCCACAGGCCCACGAAUCAAGACUGGGAUCCACCAUGAACGAAUACCUGGUAUAUGAUUCCAAAAAAGAUGAUGGAAUUUUCGUCGUGCACCAAGAGAGAAGGAUAUACGGAUUCCAGGAUUUCCUCGGGUCGUUGUUUGACCAUUUCUGCAUGCAAAUGAUCUAAUCGAAGACCGCACCAUUCAGCACGAAGAACUUUGCAACAAUUAUGACCGAUUAUUGAUGUUUCCUGAUGAAAUAAUCUCAUAUAUAGUUAAAGAUUGAAUGCUGAGUCUAUUGUAUGAUAUGCCGGAGUAAAUUAAAACCGUCUGUCGCUUGAACUUUCGCUUAUUUUGUACGAAUAUGCUCGCUAAGUUGAUUCAUUAGUCGAAUUAUUCAACGUAUGGCGUAUUUUCUAUUUUUAAAAGCAAAGAAAUUCUGAUAUCUUCAUAGCUCUUAGUCGUUGUUCAAUUAUGUAAUCAGACUCUAGUUUCCAAGAUCAAAAUACAAAGAAACACUGCGUGAA